GGAUUGUGGCUCAGCGGUAGAGUCCUUGCCUAGCAUGUGUGAGGCCCUGGGUUCAAUCCUCAGCACCA
rnacentral:tRNA from 1 species